UACGUAGGUGGCAAGCGUUGUCCGGAUUUACUGGGCGUAAAGCGCGCGCAGGCGGACUGAUCAGUCUGGGGUGAAAUCUCCCGGCUCAACUGGGAGCGGUCCCUGGAUACUGUCAGUCUUGAGAGACCUAGAGGAGAGCGGAAUUCCCGGUGUAGUGGUGGAAUGCGUAGAUAUCGGGAGGAACACCUGUGGCGAAGGCGGCCAUCUGGACGGUAACUGACGCUGAGACGCGAAAGCGUGGGUAGCAAACAGG
rnacentral:rRNA from 1 species